UGGGGUGUAGCUCAGCGGUAGUAGCGGGAUGCUGUUAACAUCUAGGUCGCAGGUUCGAUCCCUGCCACCCCAG
rnacentral:tRNA from 1 species